CAGAUCUAGGAUGUGUUAUUUUAGUGUUCCCUUUAUUUAUUUGAGCAGUGUACUAUGAAGGUCUGCACUCCAGCAUGCCAUAACAUUCCGCAGCAUUCCGCAAGCUUUGCUGAAGUAUUUUAAAUGAGGACCCACUGCUACCUGCACAAUAACUGACCACAAUCCACUUAAUUAAUAUUAGGAAGUGUUGAAUAUUUUUGCCUUGGGGAGAGCACAGCGCAUGGAAGAAAACAUAGCUUCGAGAAAGAGUGCUGGAGGUGCUGCAGAUACAUUUAAAUAGAUGUAUAUAKUUUCUCCUGUUGGUACAGAAAUAAAUGAAAUAAUUGAAAAUAAUACACCAGAGAGUUUUUUGAUGUUGUUGUGGAUUGUGUUUUAUCACAUCACGAGCGCAUGGGCCUACUUUCAGGAAGCCCGCAAUUGGGCAGCAUGCGUGGUAAAUAUCAAACAGCUGAUUGUUGAGUUGGGGCUGUCAAUGUGGCUGUCAGUGCACAGCAAACAGCAGCUAAAAGGCCUUUCACAAUAUUUCUAAAUACAAUUGCGGAAAAAACAGUUUGGARGAGUCAGUGCCACUGGAAAGUUUAAGGACUAUGAUUUCCUCCUCAUAUUGUACAAUCUGUCUCCACACUUCCAUUGGCCUAUGCUAUUGGUUGCAUUUGAGACCAGGUCAUUUGUUUAAUUAAUCUAAUGCUCGAAACUUGGAAACCCAUUGUAGAAAAUGAGCUCAGAGUUUUCCGCUUGGAAAGUAUCAGAAUCAACCAAUAGGAAGUUCUAAGCAAAAAACAUACUCAAAUUGUAACUCAGAGGUUCCGACUUUCUGAGUUGUCUUGAACGCACCAUCAGUAAACAUAUGUCAGUGUCAGAAUGUGUGGGCAAGUGUACGUCAGAUUAUUAAAAUGAUUUUCAUGUAUUGUAACUUUAAAUGUUUCAACUUCCAUACUAUGCCUGCUUGCGUGCGUGGGUUUGCUUACAGUGAUUUCCUCAGUCAGUGUCUGUUAAUCAUUUGUUAGGGGGAGUAUUAAAAGACUAUGUCUUUCAGGUACUGUCUCGUUGUCAGAAGGAUAGUUUAAGGGUCAGUGUUAGGUUCCCUCUUCCUCUGUAUAAGCUGCUGGGAAAUAGUCUUUGUGUGGUGUCAUUUCAGUGUAUUAGAAGUAAAACAUGGAAAUGCGAGAGCAAACCGAAGAUCCUGAACCGAACAACAUCGAAAAUACUGAACCAGACCACAAGAAGUCAACAGAAAAGCCACAGCGCAUCACUGCCUGUCUGGUGAAUGCAGCGUUCUUUGGUGCCCUUGGGUCAUCUUAUCUCUAUGGCUACAACCUGUCUGUCGUCAACGCUCCUGCACUGGUGAGUCUAUUUAUUGUGU